GAAACUUUGGGAGAGGGAGGAAAUAAGAGAAGCCAUUUUGCUGGUCUCCUUUGCAGUCUCCACUCUCCCUGGCAGAAAAGUCGACUUCAACUAAAAUGUCCGAAAUACCUUUUUUUAUUUCUACUGAGAAGACAGGUUUAUUUCAACUGAGAAGACAGGAUAAAGCUUGAACUCCUCAACUAAAAUGGUAAACCCUAAUUGUCAAUAUGCCACAACUAUGUUCUUUACUUUUUUUCCUUUCUUUGAAGGCUAAGUAAUAUGUGAG
rnacentral:lncRNA from 1 species